UGGGUAAUCUUGUGAAACUUCAUCGUGAUGGGGAUAGAGCAUUGCAAUUAUUGCUCUUGAACGAGGAAUCCCUAGUAAGCAUGAGUCAUCAGCUCGUGCUGAUUACGUCCCUGCCCUUUGUACACACCGCCCGUCGCUACUACCGAUUGAAUGGCUUAGUGAGACCCUCGGAUCGAUAAGUGGAAACCUUCACGGGUAUCCUUUUGUUGAGAAGUUGGUCAAACUUGGUCAUUUAGAGGAAGUAAAAGUCGUAACAAGGUAGCCGUAGGUGAACCUGCGGAAGGAUCAUU
rnacentral:rRNA from 1 species